AUGAGGUGCUCAUAGCUUCUAAUUAAAAUGCUUGGAGCAAAAAUCAGAUAAAUCCGGAUUUAAAAUUAUUCAUUUUAAAACUUAAGAUACAUCAAAACGUCGAAAAAAAUCUAUCUGAUAACUGCUUAACAAUACAUAAUGUGAAGAAAGGAUUGCCUUUAUUUGGAAAAAAGAAUUAUUUGUAUCACUACAGGAAAUUCCAUAAUGGUAUAAAAAAUGUGUAAAUAUGCCAAUGGAAUAUUAUAAUUAUAUCGUUCAUUUUUAUACAUAACGUUGCAGGCAACACUAGGUAUGUAUAAUGAUCGAAU